CGACUAUUUAUCCCCAGUCUCCUUUCAAUAAAGGAUAAAAAUAUCAAUACAUAAAACGUUAUAAUUGUACUGUGUUGCGCUAUAAUGUGGACGCUCUUCCUUUGGGAAAGUAGGUCAAUAUAUCUAACGUUUAAAUGCAGUGUGUAACAUAAGCAAUUCUGUUUUAGAGCAUAACCAGACAAGACGACAAAUAAUUGGAAAAAGGAUUCUGUUAUUUUAUGUGUUUAUUAGUGGCUGAUUAAAAAUGCAUAAAAAUGGAUAAACAUACUGUAAUGAAAAGUUUCUACAGUCUACGGUCAAAAAGAUAUGUAAUUUUGGUUUGCAUUGCUUUAUUCAUUAUACUGAAAUAUACAAGGAAAGGAACAAUAUCUAUCGUUUACAGACCUUUUAUUGAAUCAGAUAUAUAUGACUUUGGAAUGAAUGAAGAGGAACACAUGUCAUAUAAUAUUAAAAGCAUAAGUGAUAAUAAAAACGGUGUAAAUGGUAGCACAUAUCGUGACAUUAACAAUGAAGUUCUUAAUUUAGCAAGAAAAAUUACUUCAUUUAAUAAGACAGUUUUAGUUAGCGUAAUAAAUGACGCAUAUUUACCAUUUGCUUAUAGCUGGCUUUGUAACACCAAGGACAUGGAAAUUCAUAAAUCUGUAUUAGUUAUUACAACGGAUAAUGAAUCUAAAAUUAAGCUCAAUAGAGACUGGCCUGAUGUGUCAGUCUUCCAUUUACGACUUCAAAUACCCAAAGGUGAUCAGAAAUAUAGCCACGUUGGUUAUGUCAAAAUUAUGAUUCGUAGAACAGAAAUAAUUUUGUCUUUAUUACAGGCAAAUAUUGACAUACUUUUACUAGAAUUUGAUUACGUUUGGUUUUCAAACCCAAUACCUGGCUUACAAAAGCGAUUUGGUGUUGAUAUGUUGGUGAAUCCAGUUUCUAAUACCGGAGGAGCUAUUUUCAAUGGCGGAUUACUUUAUCUUUUUGCAACAAACCGUACUAAAGCCCUCUGGUCAAAGCUAACAGAAAUGAUGCGGAAGCUUGAACGAGAUAUAAAGGAUAAACCAGAUAACAAGUCAAUUUCCGAAGGGCAAAAUGACCAGACAUUCCUAUCUCAGUUAAUUCGUGCAAGGUAUGCAAACAUUACUACACAACUACUGACCCUAGAUGUUUACGCUGAUGGUAAAUGGUAUGGUAUGAGUAAUGCAGAGAGGCAGAAAUUACACCCUAUUGUUAUCAGCAACAACUGGAUAAUAGGAAAACUUUUUUAAUGUUCAUAAAAAUGUAGCCGGUCAUCGUAUUCAGAAAUAUGCAGCCCCACGUCCUGGAUUACUGGAUAUGACAGAUGUCACAACGUAAAGUUUUAUGUCAUGAGCAACCUAAAACAGUGAAUGGAAAUGCUAAAUGCUGUUAUUCAAGUGGAAACAAGAAUAAAAUCAUCAGAGCAAAGAAAUGGAAUCAUUGGUUUCUACGUCCUGAUAAUACAUGUGACAUGGACACGGUGAAAAAGAUUGUGUACUCAGAAGUCUAGCAGAAUUAUGUAGAUUAUGUCCGAUAUAUUAACGUUAUCCUUAUGCGUUCCGUUGAAAUUGAUAGCGUUCAUCUCCGUUGGACCGCUAAAGAAAAUGCACCAAUGUUACAAUAUCGCAGUUUAAAAACUUAAUACAAGGAAAGGAAAUUAAAUAUGUAUUUCAGAGUCAUACGAUGUUAACGACAGAAUAAGACCGGCAUAUUAAAUGAUACUCGCUAGCUUAUUUUAUGGAUUUGUCGAUCAUAUUCCGUUGUUAAUUUCUUAUGUACUCCGAAAUAACUAUAAAUGAUUCAUUUUCUAAGUAAGAAGUCACGGUAAAACGGUUGUCUUGGUUAUGACAUCAUAUAUACAUUGAAUCCAUUACAAUUUCAAUUGAUUAUCCUAUGUAUCAGUUUCAUCGUCGUAGUGCCUGUGAACAUCAUAUCUAGUCCAGUAUCACGGCAUAAUAUGAUCUGGAAUACGAGUACUCAUGAGUUUUAUUACUCUUCUCCAUCGUUUGUUAAGAAUUGUUUCGCAAACAAUGAUAUUAAAUCAACAAAAGUACAUGCAUGUUUUAUACAAAAUAUCAUUGUUCUAAUAACAAAUCAACAAAACCCGUUAAUGUAUUCGCAAAAGGUCUGAAUUGAAAAUAUUCAGUGUUAUUUAAAGUACAUUAAUUUGCAUAAUUGCAUAAUGUAUAGGAAUUUUGAUAAUGAUGUCUUGAUUAUGGGAUAUCCCUUAUUCCAGAUCACAGGUAUCACUACUGGAUGCACAUGCCAUUAAACGGGUCAUGAAAUUGGCCUUAACUUUUUCAAAGGUUUUAAACAGGUCACCAUUAGAAUUCACCCAUUACUUUUUACUAUUUAAUGGGAUUUUCACGACCAUAGUUUUAAUGCCAUACAUUAAAAAUGACCUUGAUGGCCAUGAAAAGCAGCUUAAAAUAAACCAUUAAAAUAAGUUAACAGGCUCCUUAAGACUUCAUGAAAAUUUUUAAUUGGCAUGAAAUUAAAGUGCCAUUAAAAAUUACCCCUUAAUUAGUAAGAACUAAUGGGGCCAUUAAUUUUUUUAAUACUCUGUUAACGGCCGUUAAUUAUUUAAAAAUGAUUAAUGGUCUCAUUAAAUAUGUCAGAUUCAAUUUUAAUGGGUUUAUAAUAUUUUAAUUGUAUAUCAAAUUAAGGGCCAUGAAAAUUUGCCUUCAGAAUUAGACAUCUUAAGAUAAUCAACUUCAUCCUAAUAUUUGCCGUAUUGAUUUAAACUACGUAUUACUACACAUGUAAUAGUAUCUAUACAUAUGUACUGUUCUGUAAAAUGCUAGAAGAAUAUUUGUUUCUUCUUUUUUCUCUUAUUAUUUUGUAAUGUAAACACAUGUAACAGCCUCGUACAAACAUUUGUUAUAUUGUAUCCUUAUUCUGUCAUAUGUUCAUAUGAAAUGAGAAAAUAAAUAGAUAUUGUAUUGUA